CCUACGGGUGGCAGCAGUGAGGAAUAUUGGUCAAUGGCCGGAAGGCUGAACCAGCCAUGCCGCGUGAAGGUCAGUGCCCUAUGGGCGGUAAACUUCUUUUGUGCGGGAGCAAUAAUGGUCACGUGUGGCCAGACGAGAGUACCGUACGAAUAAGCAUCGGCUAACUCCGUGCCAGCAGCCGCGGUAAUACGGGGGAUGCAAGCGUUAUCCGGGUUUAGUGGGUUUAAGGGGUGCGUAGGCUGUGGGGUAAGUCAGCGGUGAAAUGCCCCGCUCAACGGGGUGAAGUGGCAUUGAUACUGCCUUGCUGGAAUGCGGAUGCCGUGGGAGGAAUGUGUGGUGUAGCGGUGAAAUGCAUAGAUAUCACGAAGAACUACGAUUGCGAAGGCAGUUCACUGGACUGCAACUGACACUGAGGCUCGAAAGUGUGGGUAUCAAACAGGAUUAGAUACCCCUGUAGUC
rnacentral:rRNA from 1 species